rnacentral:lncRNA from 1 species
CAUAUAAUACAUAUUUGUGAAUGAGACAUAUUCCCAAAAAAUUCUUAUCUCUGUAUGUGAUUGGAAAAGAAAAGAUCACAUUUGUAUAUUCAACAAUCUUUCACCUAUUUCAUAAGUCAUUUUUUCAUCCUGUAUAGUAUGGGAAUUAUUUUUUAUGUUAAAUAGAAACUGAAUGUACUGGGUUGAAUGGUGUCCUCUCCAAAAUUCAUGUACUUCCUGGAGCCUCAGAAUGUGACCUUAUUUGGAAAUACUGUGGUUGUGGUUGUAAGUAGCUAAGAUGAGGUCAUACUGGAGCAGGGCAGGCCCUUAAUCCAAUAUGACUGGUGUUCCUUAUAAGAGAAGAUAGGGCGGGCAUGGUGGCUCACGCCUGUAAUCCCAGCACUGUGGGAGGCCAAGCCAGGCAAAUCGCUUGAGGCUCAGGAGUUCAAGACCAGCCUGGCCAAC